GAUGAAGAACGUAGCGAAAUGCGAUACUUGGUGUGAAUUGCAGAAUCCCGUAACCAUCGAGUCUUUGAACGCAAGUUGCGCCCGAAGCCAUUAGGCCGAGGGCACGCCUGCCUGGGCGUCACACGUCGUUGCCCCCCCAUCUACUCCUUCGGGAUUGCGGGGGGCGGAUGAUGGCCUCCCGUGCGCCACGCCGCGCGGUUGGCAUAAAUGCCAAGUCCUCGGCGACGCACGCCACGACAAUCGGUGGUUGCGAAACCUCGGUUGCCCGUCGUGUGCGGUCGUCGCGCAUCGAGGGCUCGAAAAAAUUGCCGGGUUCCGGCUCGGCUUUCAACGCGACCCCAGGUCAGGCGGGGUUACCCGCUGAAUUUAAGCAUAUCAAUAAGCGGAGGA
rnacentral:misc_RNA from 1 species